GGCUUAUUGUUAACAGAAUUUCACAUUGGACAAUAAUACCCAACACGGUAAUGGGUAUCGAAGAUUAUUAGUGAUUUAUGUAUGUAACAAUGUUUACGGAGGAUCUCGACGAUAUCCUUAAAACUACAAGCUGAUAAUUAUUGUGGUUGUCGUUGCGUCACAAUGGCGCACCGUGACUGGUGACAUGCGUCGCACUGUGCCAGUGUACAAGUAAGGAGACUAGCGCUGCUGCGUGCUCUUGGCGAUCUGCUCCUUGAGCAUGAGGAUGCUGGAGCGCUGCUCGGGCGGCAGCAGCGAGAUCUGCUCGUCCGACAGCUGCAGCACCUGCAUUAUCAGCGCCGCCUGCAACAUCGCGUGAACAUUGCAACAACAUCAUGUAAACAGUCUUCAGCGUCUCCUAGUGUUCUUUGGCCACGUAGCGCCUCGUGAACAGCCUUGAGAAGCUCAUCCUGCUGGGUUAUGUUCCUGGACGUCAAAGUCAAGGAUGAACACCAUUUAGAUGGACGCAGCAAAUUCAAGACGAUAUGCUGGUCACGACCCUCAUGAGGAUAUAACUAUGAUGAUGAAUGUAAACAUUCAAUUCAGACAUUUACACAAUAAGUAUAAUUACGAUCAGCCAAUAUGCCAAUAUGAAUUUAAUAUUCCUUGGAGGCUGCGGUGAAGAUAUUUUUAAGUAAAUUUUUAACGUCAAUAAGUAAC